rnacentral:rRNA from 1 species
AAUGAACGCUGGCGGCGUGCCUAAUACAUGCAAGUCGAGCGAACAGACGAGGAGCUUGCUCCUCUGACUUUAUCGGCGGACGGGUGAUUAACACGUGGUUAACCUACCUAUAAGACUGGGAUAACUUCUGGAAACCGUGGCUAAGACCGGAUAAUAUAUUGAACCUCAUUGGUCAAUAGUUGAAUACGGUUUUUCUUUGGGUUAUAGAUGGAUCCGCGCCGCAUUAGCUAGUUGGUAAGGUAACGGCUUACCAAGGCAGCGAUUGUUAACCGACCCGAAGGGGGGAUCGGACACCCUGGAGCUGAGACACGGCCCCGACUCCGACGGGGGGCCGCAGCCGGGACUCUUCCGGAAUGGGCGAAAGCGUGACGGAGCAAAGCGGGCUGAGUCCUGAAGGUCUACGGAUGGGAAAACUAUGUUAUCCGGGAAGUACAAAUGUGUAAGUAACUAUGCACGUCUUGACGGUACCUAAUCAGAAAGCCCCGGCUAACUCCGUG